CCGCGCGCCCGGUGUUCAGGAAAACUUGGGAACGGGGUUUGGUGAUGUCUGGUGGCGGAGGCCCGUAUGGGACCGCACGUACGCAUUUGAGCCGGCAGAAUUACCUCAGCAGCAUUCCUGCCGCUGCCGCGGGAAACGCGCUGACUACGCAGGAAAGGUGGAGCGCGGCAGAGACCGACAUGUGACAGAACCGGGUGUGUAAAGGUGGCAUCUGUGUACACAGAGUUUUGAGAGAAUUUCAAAGUCUGUUACGUGCUGAUGCUGUAAAGGCUGAGCAACGAACUGAUGGUAAUUACAUACAUUUUUAUAAUUAAAAAACCUAAUGGAAAUAAAAUUGAUUACUGUCAGUAUCUUGGAAUAAUUACAGUUUCUGUAACAACUUUAUAUCUGAGUGUUCAGAAGUGUACACACAAAAUAAUAAAAGAUGUGCUAAUAGAAAUGAAGUCUAGAUUUCUCCAUAUACGGAGCAGGCACACAUUAUAA